rnacentral:rRNA from 1 species
AACGAACGCUGGCGGCAUGCCUAACACAUGCAAGUCGAACGAGACCUUCGGGUCUAGUGGCGCACGGGUGCGUAACGCGUGGGAACCUGCCCUUAGGUUCGGAAUAACUCCCCGAAAGGGGUGCUAAUACCGGAUAAUGUCUUCGGACCAAAGAUUUAUCGCCUUUGGAUGGGUCCGCGUUGGAUUAGCUAGUUGGUAGGGUAAAAGCCUACCAAGGCGACGAUCCAUAGCUGGUCUGAGAGGAUGAUCAGCCACACUGGGACUGAGACACGGCCCAGACUCCUACGGGAGGCAGCAGUGGGGAAUAUUGGACAAUGGGCGAAAGCCUGAUCCAGCAAUGCCGCGUGAGUGAUGAAGGCCUUAGGGUUGUAAAGCUCUUUUACCCGGGAUGAUAAUGACAGUACCGGGAGAAUAAGCUCCGGCUAACUCCGUG